UUGGGCGUAAGGGUGUGUAGGUGGUUGUGUUAGUCGGACGUUAAAUCUCAGGGCUUAACCCUGAACUCGCGUUCGAAACGGCACGACUAGAGGAUGGGAGAGGUCUACGGAACCCAUAGUGUAGGGGUGAAAUCCGUUGAUAUUAUGGGGAACACCAAAGGCGAAGGCAGUAGGCUGGCCCAUUCCUGACACUGAAACACGAAAGCGUGGGUAGCGAAAGGGAUUAGAUACCCCUGUAGUCCACGCCGUAAACGUUCUUCUCUAGCUUUUCGGAGUAUCGACCCUCUGAGAGGCGAAGCUAACGCGUUAAGAGAAGCGCCUGGGUAGUACGACCGCAAGGUUAAAACUCAAAGGAAUAGACGGGGGCUCGCACAAGCGGUGGAUCAUGUGGUUUAAUUCGAUGCUAAGUGAAGAACCUCACCAGGGCUUGAAACCCAAACGACGAGUGCCAGAAAUGGUGCUUUCCUUCGGGCGUUUGGGCAGGUGUUGCAUGGCCGUCGUCAGUUCGUGGCUUGAGCUGUUCCCUUAAGUGGGGAAACGAACGCAACCCUUAUCGUGUGUUACAAGUGUCACACGAGACUGCCUCGCACUUUGCUCGCAAAUUUAUUUGUUAGUAAAGUGCGGGGAGGA
rnacentral:rRNA from 1 species